UGCUAUGAACGGGUAUCCGGCCUGAGAGGGUGAACGGACACACUGGANCUGAGACACGGUCCAGACUCCUACGGGAGGCAGCAGUAGGGAAUAUUGCUCACAUGGGGGAAACCCUGAAGCAGCAACGCCGCGUGGAGGAUGAAGGUUUUAGGAUUGUAAACUCCUUUUGUUAGAGAAGAUAAUGACGGUAUCUAACGAAUAAGCACCGGCUAACUCCGUGCCAGCAGCCGCGGUAAUACGGAGGGUGCAAGCGUUACUCGGAAUCACUGGGCCGUAAAGAGCGCGUAGGCGGGAUAGUCAGUCAGGUGUGAAAUCCUAUGGCUUAACCAUAGAACUGCAUUUGAAACUACUAUUCUAGAGUGUGGGAGAGGUAGGUGGAAUUCUUGGUGUAGGGGUAAAAU
rnacentral:rRNA from 1 species